rnacentral:tRNA from 1 species
GCUCCUGGUUAGCUCAGUUAGUAGAUCGCUCCACAGAAAUUGGAGAGGUCCCUGGUUCGAUACCAGGAGGAGGCG